ensembl:lncRNA
GCUUACCUGACAUACAAAUGAAAACCAGACAGUGCUUUCAAUAAAACAAGGGUUUAUAAUGAAGUUUCUUCAUCGCUCUAAUGAGUAGGACCAGACAAACUUUACAAUGUAGUUCAGAGGGAUUUUAAUUCUGACUGAUACGUUCAAUCAUGUUAUGUGUUAAACUGAAAAUACCAAAAAACUGAACAAUGCAAGGAACAAAGUCAACAAAUCUCAAACACUUAAGUCUGCCUAACACAACUCCUCAUAUGAAAACAUUUAUACACUAGUGAAGAGUUUCAUUUGUGAAAAAAACACAUGGCAAUUUUCAGAAAGGUACAAAGGAGCACUAAUGUUCAUUUACAUUUAUACAAGAUAACAUUGACUGGAUAUAUAUACGUACAAAGACAUGAACUCAUUGUUCAUUAUCUUCUUUUUCGACAAAUGUACAACCUGAAAAUCAUUUGCAUCUGUCAGAAAUCGAAUGGAGGAAAGGGUCAGCGUUUAUCACCAUAAAAGAUGACCUAUAAACAACCAAAGCUGGGGAGAUAUUAAAGUUUUGGAUGGCACAGGAACCCUGCAUUCUCACGUCUGCUCUACAAGUACUAGCAAAAAAUACUGCAGGCUGUGCAUUAUUUGGAUGAUGCUUUUAUGAAAAUAUUAAAAAUGCCUAAUGAAAAAGAAUAAUGCAUUAAUGUGAAUCUAGCAGAUUGCUUGCAGUCAUGCAGCGAAAUAAACUUUACUAUGAGUUAUGAGGAUAUUUAAAAAGCCCUGAGUAUAGAGGUGGUUAUUAAGGCAUAACAAGGUGCAUAAGCGUUUUAACCUUAAACCAGCUGUUUAAUAGUGAAGUAUAAAUGUGCUGUGAAAUGUAGGGCAGAUCAGAAACCUCCGGCUAUAAAAUGUCAAAGAAUUGCAUGUCUUCAUGACAGUGUGAUGGUCUGUUUAUUGAUGAAUAAAAGCUGCAUUCAACAAGCAGAUUUGUGAGUCUGGGAAAGAUAAGAUUAAGUUCCUUCAUAGCUUUAGUAACUGCCUGAUAAUGUAAAUAAAUGGAAUAAUAUCAGACUAAAACUAUUUUUUGGCAGAGUACAUGCAGCAGGUUUUUCAUUUCAUCUGUGUUUAAGAAAGCAGACUUCCACCAAGCACGGUGAAGAAUCGCUUGAGCUGUUAUGUGAGAAGGCACUAUGAGCAAAAUGAAGUCAAAAAGCAGCCUGUCCUCAAGUGCUCUUGAAUAAUCAUAAAGUCUGUAUUAAGCACCUGUGCCAACCAAAUCAUGGCUUCAACCAAACCUGAAGACCACCUCGAGUUGAUGAGUUCUUUUUCUUAUAGCACUUUCCAGUAAUUUGAUCUACCAACUGUUUUAAUAUCCCACACAACAGUUUUCUUGCCUUUGAGUAGAAAUAGCCAUUAAUAUAAAUCACAUUUUGCCAUAAAAUCACAAACAGCAUGUCUGUCAUAUUUCACCCCAAAAUCAAAAGGUAAAAAAGGUUAUACAUAAUACCACUUUUUAGGACCGCAAAAAUUACCUAUAAAUAAUAUUUAUAAAAAAUAAAAUAAAAAAAUGUUUUGGGUUCUAAUUACUGUAAAAUAAUUUUACUAAAAGAAAAACAACCUGUAGUACAAUUUAAUUUAAAUGAUCAUAGAUCUAGGCUUUUUGUUUCAAUUAUGCAUAAUGAUUAUCUUAUAUAUAUACAAAGUCUACGUAAAUCAAAUUUUUGACUCAUUAUUGAACAUUUUUAUGUUACUAAAAAAAACCUAAUAAUUAAUUAGAACAGUAAUGAGAUUUUCUUUGCAUUACACAUUAUGCACGGUUAUUUUU